UACAGAGGUCUCGAGCGUUAGGCGGAAUCACUGGGCUUAAAGCGUGUGUAGGCGGAUCGUUAAGUACCUUGUGAAAUCCCACGGCUUAACCGUGGAACUGCUUGGUAUACUGGCGGUCUUGAGCCAGCUAGGGGCUACCGGAACAAAUGGUGGAGCGGUGAAAUGCGUAGAGUAUCAUUUGGAACGCCAAUGGUGAAAAACAGGGUAGCUGGGGGCUGU
rnacentral:rRNA from 1 species